AAAGGAAGAAAACGCAAACGGCGGUUACUGACAGGCUGGGCGAGCGCUCGGGGGCUCAAACUGCCUGGAGACAGGCGGGGCUCCUGCUGAGGCUUGGUCCGCCCGGACGAGUAAGGAGAGGAGCCAGGGAGGACCUGCUGGCGUGAGACGCCUCUGCCCGGUAGAAGAUACUGGAAGAUCAACUCUAAUUUGUGGCUGCCUUCCCAGCAGUCUCUACUUCAGCAUAUCUGGGAGCCAGAAGCACUCAAGUUUGAUAACUCAAAAGACAGAACAAUCAGUCAAGGAGAUGGAUGAAAUAUUUCUUCUGUGCUCUGAAUAUAGGGUAUGAUCUCAGAGCUCUCUGUGCCAGCAGAAUCAGUCUGGAACUCAGCCAGAAGUUCUUCGUGAUUAAAGGUGCCAUCUGAGCGCACAAUAUUUUUUUAAAAGCCUUGCAAAAUGGGGCCGGGCACGGUGGCUCAUGCCUGUAAUCCCAGCACUUUGGGAGGCUGAGGUGGGCAGAUCACGAGGUCGGGAGUUUGAGACCAGCCUGGCCCACGUGGUGAAACUCCGUCUAUACUAAAAAUAAAAAAAUUAGCUGGGCAUGUUGGCAAGCGCUUGUAAUCCCAGCUACUCGGGAGGCUGAGGCAGGAGAAUCAUUUGAAUGCAGGAGGCAGAGGUUGCAGUGAGCCGACAUCACGCCAUUGCACUCCAGCCUGGACAACAGGGCGAGACUCAGUCUCAAAAAAAAAAAAAAAAAAAGCCUUGCAAAAUGGAAAUAUACUUUUUUUUUUUUUUUUUGAUCACUAGCAUUAGCACCAGAACUGACUUUAGACUUUGGGUAGGGAUUCUACCAGCCUCAAUACCUUCUUUUUCUUCUCUCACCAUUUUCCCUUGACCACUUGUCUUGUGAUAAGGCCCAGUCCAUGCAAUUAAAUAAACUCAUUUAACAAAUAUGACUCCCAGAAAGCCCUACAAAUUAUCAGUUGCAGAUUUUUAGGGCCUCCCCAGACACUUGACUUGUAAGUAGAAGAUAUAUCAAGUUUUGAUGGAAAAGUUUGCCUUCACAAUGUACAAAGAACCAUGUUAGUGGAUCUUCUGGAAAGACAUCUCACCUGAAAAUCAAUAGUCAUCUCUUGAGACAGCAGUGUCUAAAAUCGUGAUUUUCCAUUUUUUCCAAAUGGUAUUCCUUGUAUUUGGCAUUUGCAAUUUUUUACCUUUCCUCAUCUUUCUUAGCACUUGAAUACCCAUGAUAGAGUUAAUCAUUUAACCCAAGGCACUGAGAAAUUAUGACAUUAUAUGAAUGAGUAGACUUCAUUAAAGUGGCAUUCCCCUAGAUGCUGCUGAAUUCCAGGGCUUAGGGGACAAUGUUUGAGGCCUCACUUAUACACCUCAGCAUGUGAUGUAGAUCUGCUCUGCCUCACUCUUCCCACUUUGGGUCCUCAUUUAGGUUUAGGGGUAACAAAAGAAGCAAAUCUCUCUAGCUUGACAUCUUCCUCACUUUUGAUGUCUGCCCUUGUAGUAACACAGGGGCCAACUGGAUAAUAUGUAUGCCAUUGCUGCAAACUUCCCCUCCAACAAGGCAACAGAUUUCAGCUCAGCUCUCACCAGGGGAGAGAGCACAAAUUAGAUCCAAAUGGCAGGAACAAUAGUCCAGGCUGUUUCAGGAGGACAGGGCACAAACAGGGCAGGCAGCUGGUGAAGCUCUGUUACCUCAUUUAAUCUCCAUAACCCUGGGGUGGAAGGCUGUAUUUUUAUUCUCAUUUUACAGAUGAGGAAAUUGAGACCCAGAGCAAUGAGGGGAUUUGUUCAAAGUCAUGCAGUCACUAGUAGCAGAGUCAGGAUUAGAGCCCCAUGUCCUGACUACCAGUUCAUUGCCUUUCCCGCUGCACCACACAGCCUUCCUCUCCCAUUCACUCACUUAGCAAAUGUUUGUUGGUGCUUCCAAACACUGAAGAUACAAAAGUGAAUAAGACUGAGUCCCUAACAUUGAGUCCAGAAUUCAUAGAGGAGGGACCAACAAAGGAAUAAAUAAUUAAAGACACAAUAAGCGCUAUAAUCAAGAAUUUGACAAAGUGUGUUGGGGGAGCCCCAAAAACAGUGCUGAUCUCUAACCAUGUGCAGGUGAGUAGAAGCUUCCUGGAAGAGGUGACAUUUGGCUGCCCCAGACUUGCAUGCACCUGCUUUAAAUGUGUGGUCCUUUACUUCUCAGUUUUCGCAAUUCACAAUUAACUCUAAGCCUGAAAAAGUUUCGUCGAAAGCUGAUUCCAUUAGAAAGUGGCAAACUCCUACUUCUCUGCAUCUGAUCUUAUACAUUGUGCUCACACAGACCCCUGUGCUGGCCUCUGCACAGCCCUUGGCACACCAUGUUCAAAGUGUUUGCUUCCAGUUCUCUCUCCUAUCACUCUUUAGAGUUCCUCAUGUUGGACAACAGUGGUUCCUCAUGGUCCUUUAACCAUCAAUGCCCAGCCCAAGGCCUGGCACACAGUGGGUAGCCAGUGAAUAUUCUUCGAGCGAAUAAGCAAAAGUGCAAGUAAACUCUCCAGGAAGGCUCUGGGGAGUCUAAGUUCAAAUUAUCC
rnacentral:lncRNA from 1 species